UACGUGAAACCGUUCAGGGGUAAWCCUGAGAAACCCAAAAGAUCGAAUGGGGAGAUUCAUCGUCAGCGAGCAGCCGGUAUCCGUGCGGUGAGCGAUGCGCUCGGGGCUUCGGUCCCGGGUCACGCGACCGCUGCGCGAUAAUCCGGCCUCGUCGUCGUGCACUUCUCCCCUAGUAGAACGUCGCGACCCGUUGGGUGCUGGCCUACGGCUCGGACGGUCGACUGUCGCGUCGUCUCAGGACGCUAACGCGGCAGACCUCCGAACGCCCGGUCGGCUGCCCGGCGGUAGAAGACUGAUAAUUAUGGUAUCGGGCCGCAGUAAGUGCGUUCAGGCACGUCGGCUGGCGGGUUGAAGCUUUGCAUUCGGACCUGGCGCCGUAUGCCGAGCCCGGCUCGCCUUUCGCCGGCGUUGUCCUCGGACAGGCUCGCACAUUCGAACGAGAAUAUACCGGUCGGCGACGCUACUGCUUUGGGUACUUUCAGGACCCGUCUUGAAACACGGACCAAGGAGUCUAACAUGUGCGCGAGUCAUUGGGACUUUGAAGCCUAAAGGCGAAAUGAAAGUGAAGGUCGGCUUUUAUUGUCGACCGAGGGAGGAUGGUUCGCGUCACGAUGCGAACCCGCACUCCCGGGGCGUCUCUAACUCAUUGCGAGUUGAGGCGCACCCAGAGCGUACACGUUGGGACCCGAAAGAUGGUGAACUAUGCCUGGUCAGGACGAAGUCAGGGGAAACCCUGAUGGAGGUCCGUAGCGAUUCUGACGUGCAAAUCGAUCGUAGGAACUGGGUAUAGGGGCGAAAGAMUAAUCGAACCAUC
rnacentral:rRNA from 1 species